CUACGGGCCGCUGCAGUGGGGAAUAUUGGACAAUGGGGGCAACCCUGAUCCAGCCAUGCCGCGUGUGUGAAGGAGGCCUUUUGGUUGUAAAGCACUUUAAGCGAGGAGGAGGCUGCUGGUACUAAUAUUACCAGCUAGUGGACGUUACUCGCAGAAUAAGCACCGGCUAACUCUGUGCCAGCAGCCGCGGUAAUACAGAGGGUGCGAGCGUUAAUCGGAAUUACUGGGCGUAAAGCGCGCGUAGGCGGUUUGUUAAGUCGGAUGUGAAAUCCCCGGGCUCAACCUGGGAAUUGCAUUCGAUACUGGCAAGCUAGAGUAUGGGAGAGGAAGGUAGAAUUCCAGGUGUAGCGGUGAAAUGCGUAGAGAUCUGGAGGAAUACCGAUGGCGAAGGCAGCCUUCUGGCCUAAUACUGACGCUGAGGUGCGAAAGCAUGGGGAGCAAACAGGAUUAGAUACCCUUGUAGUC
rnacentral:rRNA from 1 species